UGAAGUAUUUCAAAUUGUAUGAAAGAAAUGUUUAUAAAAUCGUACACGAAUUUAUUAUUUGCUCCUGGGCGAUGAGUAACAAUAUCGUGGGCCCGGGCAUAAAAGUAAAUUUUGUGUUCUAUUCAUAAAAUAUCUUGCAAAUACAAAUGCAUGUCAACUAUCAUCAUAAGCAAUUUAGGAAAAGUGCAGCGUGCUGGCGUUUGGUUUCUUCAUUUGUGGUUUGGCUUGCAAGAUGCCAGCAUUAAUAAAAAAGUCUUCUUGGCCAAUGGUUUAUUGUUACUUGCCUUGUGGUGAUGUGCAAUCAUCGCUAUGUUGUAUGUAAAUGCGUAUAAGGAUGUGAAUGCUGUCCUCUACUUCCCUUCAGGUGAAAUUUCCUCCUAUUUGCAACGCCGGCAAUGAUGAUUUCACACACUGUCGCUACAACAACAGCAGGAUUUCACACACAUUCCCAUGGCAGUCGGUUCUACGUACCGGAAUGAUCGCUCCAUUAAGCUAACCCUAUUUAGUGUACCGCAGGAUUUCACACAAGUACUUUAACAAAAGAUGGAGUCCAAAUUGGAAGACCAAUUAAGACCACAUUAUUUCACUAAAAACUGCUGCUUACACGGCUGCCGAAGAGCUAGUGAGCAAACGGAUGCUGGUCAUCAAAGUUCAAAUAGACUGUGAACCUUUGACACUUAUGGCAGCCGAUUGGAAGGAACGCGUGGACGGCAAUCGCAUCGAGUGUGAAACGCAAGUCAUACCCACCUUUAUUUUAUUUGUGAACUUGUUUCAUUCAUCAUUCACCAUUAUUAUCAUGAGCAGAAGCACAAACUUGCAUUGGAAGUUCCCGCCAUCACUAAGCUAGUGCCGUUCUCAAUAUGCCAACGGAGAAAUGCCUAAAUAAUUUCAAGCGUUGGAGCCUGCGCUCUUCCGAAUGGUAGUGACGCACCAUCUAUUUAUCAUAACAAAGUUGUCAUUAAAUCUGCAUAUAUACAUUUAUUGUGUAUAAAUAAAGACAAAAUUUGUAACAUAAAAAUAAG